rnacentral:rRNA from 1 species
ACCAGACUCCUACGGGAGGCAGCAGUGGGGGAUAUUGCACAAUGGGGGGAACCCUGAUGCAGCGACGCCGCGUGGGUGAAGAAGCGCCUCGGCGCGUAAAGCCCUGUCAGCAGGGAAGAAAAUGACGGUACCUGAAGAAGAAGCCCCGGCUAACUACGUGCCAGCAGCCGCGGUAAUACGUAGGGGGCAAGCGUUAUCCGGAUUUACUGGGUGUAAAGGGGGCGCAGACGGCGAUGCAAGCCAGGAGUGAGAGCCCGGGGCCCAACCCCGGGACUGCUCUUGGAACUGCGUGGCUGGAGUGCAGGAGGGGCAGGCGGAAUUCCUGGUGUAGCGGUGAAAUGCGUAGAUAUCAGGAGGAACACCGGUGGCGAAGGCGGCCUGCUGGACUGCAACUGACGUUGAGGCCCGAAGGCGUGGGGAGCAAACAGGAUUAGAUACCCGUGUA